rnacentral:rRNA from 1 species
UGGGGAAUAUUGCACAAUGGGCGCAAGCCUGAUGCAGCCAUGCCGCGUGUGUGAAGAAGGCCUUCGGGUUGUAAAGCACUUUCAGCGAGGAGGAAAGGUUAACGGUUAAUACCCGUUAGCUGUGACGUUACUCGCAGAAGAAGCACCGGCUAACUCCGUGCCAGCAGCCGCGGUAAUACGGAGGGUGCGAGCGUUAAUCGGAAUUACUGGGCGUAAAGCGCAUGCAGGUGGUUUGGUCAGUCAGAUGUGAAAGCCCCGGGCUUAACCUGGGAAUUGCAUUUGAUACUGCCAAACUAGAGUCCUUGAGAGGGGGGUAGAAUUUCAGGUGUAGCGGUGAAAUGCGUAGAGAU